rfam:Oryza glumipatula chromosome 9, whole genome shotgun sequence.
AAAAAGACAAACCCUAGAUUUCUGUGUUCAACUUUGACUGUUCGUCUUAUAUGAAAUUUUUUUAUAAUUCGUAUUUUCAUUGUUGUUAGAUGAUAAAACAUGAUUAAUAUUUUAUGCGUAACUUGUCUUUUUAUUUUUUUUCAUAAUUUUUUCAAAUAAGACGGACGGUCAAACGUUGGGCACAGAAACCAGGGUUUAUCUUUUU